AUUUGAAUUGCUGUCUGAGGCUUUGGGACUAAGAAAAAGUUAUCUGAAAGAUAUUGGCUGUGCUGAGGGGCUUUACUUCGUUGGGCACUACUACCCACCUUGUCCUGAACCCGAAUUAACUCAGGCGGCUAUUGCCCAUAGUGAUUUAGCCUUCCUGAAUAUGCUCCUGCAAGAUCAAAUCGGUGGUCUUCAAGUGCUUCACCAAAAUGAAUGGGUUGAUGUCACUCCCUUGCCUGGAGCUAUGGUCGUGAACUUUGGAGACAUGAUGCAGGUAAAGAUUUAGGUGUACUUUGAGCUCCAAGCACAAGAAAUUUUGUAAUUGCAAGUAUGCAUAUUUAAACAUGAUUCUAUUCAAGCGUGUGUAUGGAUUGAAGAUUCAUAGCAUGCCGUACACUUGCUAAUCUUUCUGUAUUUCCCAAGUGCAGCUGAUCACAAAUGAUAAAUUCAAAAGCAGUAAGCACAGAGUACUGGCGAAAAAGGUUGGCCCUAGAAUUUCAGUGGCAACCUUCAUGAGGCCCGCGAGAAAUGAAGUAGUUACAUCGCGAAUGUAUGAGCCAAUUGAGGAGUUGCUCUCAGAUGAAAAUCCCCCAAUCUAUAAAAGGACAACGAUAAAAGACUGCAUGGCCCAGCUCUACUCGAACUUAAGCGCCGGUGAUGGGAGUUCUGCAUUGCUACAUUUCAAGGUCUGAAAGGCAGUGAAAGAGGAAAUUUCUUUUGCUGUGUCUUGCUAUGUUGAUUGUGUGCGUGAAGAUAACCACCCGUGUGAAAAUUUGGGUUCACCUAAAAUAACGAUUUUAGCUAUACGCUUAAACGAUACAUACAAACAUUGAAAUUCCUAAAAAUAAGAGGUGGAUUAUCUUGUAAUUUACAUCUAUUGUCGUCUGUUGUACAAGUCGCUGUGUGUGUCUGAAGGAUUUAUUGUCUUAUUACAGGUGUAUCAUACCUGAGAACUUGUGGUAUUCCUACAGAAAUAUGUGCCCAAAAAAGAGUUGCUUGAUUUUUCAUUUCCCUCGUACAAGUAAUAGUAGUAGUUGAAGCAAGAAAUGAGUGAGACCCUCUAGAAAAUUCGGCCAUGGCAUUCUGUAAAUGGUCAUAAAUCAAUGGAUUGGCAUUGGAUCGUUAAGUUAUUAUCUACGGAGUACAUGUAACUUCCAAUUCCUCUUCCCCAAGAUGAAAAAAUAGAGGUUUUAUUCCUUCUUUUAGGUUAAAGUAAUUUAGGCAAGAAAGUCCCAAGAUAGUAGAAGUAGCUGGCCUUGGGAUUUGUACUGCUGCUUCAGUCUAAAAUAUUUUUGCUUCCAAAUGAGCUUUCUUGAAAUGCCCGUCUCUAAAGGAGUUAUUUGAGUAUCUCUUUGAUUUAGUCAGGUUGUUAUAAGUACUGCACCAAGUCUAACACAAAUUAGUACAACUAUGCGAUACUAAAAGUUAAUAUAUCGAUAUUUCUAGUUACUUCUUUUGCUUUUCCUUUUUCCAUGAAAAAUAAAUUAUGAUAAUACCACUGAAAUUGUUUGAUUUUUAAUUAGCUACAUGAACAAGUUUUAAAUUUUCUUUUCGAGUUUGAUGGUCUAAAUUUGAGCAGUAAUCAAAAAUUAAUUAUUUGCUAGCCAUUGCGGUUGGCCCAAUGACUAAGAGAAGGCUAUUUAUUAUACUUUUUAUGUAGUAAUAUUCUCUCCGUCUCAUUGAGAAUAUCCUACUAUCCAUUGCAGGAUGUCCUAAAAUAUGUGUCUUCUUUAAAAGUCAAAACACCUUUUAAUCUUUCUUUCCAAUAUAUAAUCCAUUUCGCUAAUCAUAUGCAUGUUACCAUUCAAAUUCAAAUUUCGAAUUUGUGAGAGUAAAAUUAGAAAGAAAAAUACAAACAUCACAAACAAAACUACUACUCUUAAAAAGUUGGAUUCCUGAAACAAAGCCAAAUAAUUAGGGAUUGAGGAAGUACUAAUGAUGAACCAUUAUUUUCUUCUAAAUCAAUAGAUAUGAUAUAACGAAUUUCAAUCAUCAUAAUAAAUUAAAAAGAGCAUAAUUUGAAACUUCAAUCAUUAAUUAUUAAGGUAUAAUUGAAAUAACAAAAUCUAAAAUUACAAUGAUGCUAUGGAUAGGAGAUUAUUUGAAAUAAUUACUGUAACACUUUUUAUGAUGUGAUGUAUGUGAGAUAAAAAAUUAAUUGAAAAGAUAAAAAAGUGUGUUGAAAAUUAUAUUUAUGAUGCAAAUAAAUAAUUUGAAGCCAAAAAAUGGCUAUCCAAACAUUACAAUUGAAUAUGGACCAAUAAUGAAUUUGUCGGCAUAUUAUUUAAUACCGGUUAAUUUUGAUGGACCAGAGCCCUCCAAUUUCGUCUUGUACCGAAAAUAGUAAAGAAGAUUAUGUCACCAUAUCAGUGCCCACUCCGGUUAGAGCAAACAGGAACACAAUGCCCUACAACCACCAGCGAUCUAUUUGGGCUGCAGCCAGGAAACAAUGCCCUACAACCAGUUUUGGGUCACUCCAUCUUUAAACAUUAGAUCGGGAUUUUGAACUUUACCUGCAACGAUAAAAAUUAAAAAAUUCAAGGUGGUGUAUUCAAGUUUUUAUACCAACUAACUAGUCCCUUAUACACAAGUCUCUUGUAAUGUUUAUGAUUUUAUUGGUCCAAGAGUGUAAGCAAUUUUAUGAUGUGGGUCAAUGUUGAACUAAAUAUGAAUUGCUCUAUUUGUGGUCCAUGGCACUGUGACUAAUUAUUUCUUUCCUUUUUUUUUUGGGAGGAAUGUGACUAAUUAUUUCAUUGUUACUUUAGCCUUCUUGCUGUCACGCUUCUAUCUCUAAUGUUCGUGACAGGUAAAAGUAGUCCAUCAUGGUGGGCCAGUCGUUGCCCGUUGGGGAAGGUAUCAAUAAAUAAAUAAUGCAUCUGUCAGACUCUCAGUAUAGAAAAUUUGAAGCGUGUUGGAUCUUUUUGGGCAUCCAGAAACGACAAAUUUGCAUUUGACCAAGGGAUAAUUUCACAAACCUCUCUUGAGAUUUCUGAUAAUUUCAUUGAACUCCCCUGAAGUUUAAAAAAUUACACAUACCUCCGUUCAUUUGAUAAUUUUAGUAACAAAACCUUAAAAUAAAAUUGUCUUGGUCAAAUUUUUAAAUGAAUACCCAAAAAUGCUCUUGUGUAAUGAGUUUUAAUUUACUUCCCUAUAAAAUUAUAAAAUUAUCUAAUGUGAUUAUACGAAAAAGGUGGCGAAUUUUUCAUAUCUAUACCUACUAUUUGAUAAAUAACUAUAAUAAUAAUUUUAUCACUAUGAUAGGAUACUUUUGAUGGUAUUUUAUUAUGAAUUUAGAUUUAUAAGACAGAGAAUAAAAUGUUGAAAUAAUUGAUUCAGAGUUUAAGAAUUUUUUGAGUAGUGGGAUUAUUAUAAUUUAGUAGUGAUUUUGAGCAAUUUCUUUUCGAUUUAUUGUUAAUUUUAAUACCAAAAAAUAAAAAACAAAGAUUAGCAAAAAAAAUAUCGGAUUACGUAUAAAGUUAACGCAUCAAAAUAAUCAUUAGUUCGACAUUUGGUUAUAAUAGAAACUAGAGAUAAUAGUGGUAAUUUUACAAUUUUAUGAGCAAAAAAUUAAAAUAAAAAGGAAUAAGAAUGAAAAAAUAAUUUUAAAGUCAUUCUAAGUAUAAGCAUACCAAACAAGGGAAUUCAUUAAAAUAUUUAAGGGUAGUAUUGUCAUUUUAAAUGACAAGAGAGGUAUAUGUAAUUUUUCAAAUCUCAGAGGCCUCAGUGAAAUUGAUAGAGACCUUAGGGGAGGUUUCUGAAACCAUCCCUUGAUGAAAUUGUAAAUAAUGAAUCUGUCAGUAUUGAAACGUGUUGCCGUCGAUCUUGGGCAUACAGAAACGGCAAUUGAAACGUGAUGCCAUCGAUCUUGGGUAUACAGAAACGACAAAUUUGCAUUAUAGAGUUCCUCAUAAAAUAAUAUCUGGGGAAGCUAGAGCUUUUUUUUUAUUACUAGUAAAAUGUGCCUUCAGAUUAUAUCGCAUCUCUUCUUCGUUGUUUUUUAAACUAACGCACGCAACUUGGCAAGCUGUCAUAUUUCUUGUCUCUCUGUUUGACUAGUAAUUUUGCAAAGGCUUUGGAGACUGCCAAUCAAACUCAAAAUUCAUUUUAUUUAUAGCUCGAGGUUCUUUUUUUGAGGUUCAUUCACUAUUGCAUUUUAAUAGUAAUAUUAAUUAAGUAAAUUCCUGGUAAGCAUUGGGUGAUCUGAAACUAUGGUUACAAAUAACCAUUCUUUGAGAAACAGCCCACCUCAAUAGUUCGUCAACCCUAGCACCUCUCUGGAGAAAAAAAUAUGGUGGUCACAAGCAGUGUUGGAGAAGUUCAACCCGUGGUUUCGCCUGACUAUGAUCGAGAACAAGAAUUCAGAGCAUUCUUUGAUUCUAAAGCUGGUGUGAAGGGAAUAAUCGAUUCAGGCGCGACAAAGAUUCCUCGAAUUUUUGUCCACGAUUUUGAUAAGCCUGAGGACAAGCCGUGUCCUGGAAACUCCAAUCUUUCCAUUCCCGUCAUAGAUAUUGGAGGCAUCAACCAAGAUGCAGAUACGCGCUCAGACACUGUUGAUAAAAUUCGUGCUGCAUCUGAGGAAUGGGGGUUCUUCCAGGUAGUUAAUCUUUAUUAAUCAAUUGGAAUCUCCAUCUAAUCAAUACCAACUUUUCCCCUGUGCUUAUGAACAAAUCGUUCGUCGACGCCUGAUGGUCGAGCAGCUUACGGCCAGUUUCAAUUGAGCAAGGAUGAGCAAGAGUCGAGAUCAAGGAAGCUAUAUGCAGAGUAGUGUGAUUCCAAAAGCUAUGCUCAGAUAUAAUAACGGUCCACUUUGAUCCUUCCCAGCAUUCAAAAAAUCAGUUACCUGGGGUGAUUGUUAUUUCUUGUGCAAUUUGAUUCAUCUUCAGCUGACCUUCAGAAUUUGCCAGUGGAGAGAUUCAGGUAUCGGUGAAAGUCUCAUAAUUACUCACAUAUCACUUAAAGUUUGCCCCACUAUACCCUUACAGUUCACAUCACUUCACGAUCAGAUUACUGUUUUACCGGUGCAGGAAUCCAAUGAGCGAGUACAUGAAUUGUGUUAAUACAUUAGGUAUGACUCUAUUUGAAUUGCUGUCUGAGGCUUUGGGUCUAAGAAAAGGUUAUCUGAAAGAUAUUGGCUGUGCUGAGGGGCUUUACUUCGUUGGGCACUACUACCCACCUUGUCCUGAACCCGAAUUAACUCUGGCGAAUUUUGUCCAUAAUGAUUUAGCCUUCCUGAAUAUGCUCCUGCAAGAUCAAAUCGGUGGUCUUCAAGUGCUUUACCAAAAUCAAUGGGUUGAUGUCACUCCCGUGCCUGGAGCUAUGGUCGUGGACUUUGGAGACAUGAUGCAGGUAAAGAUUUACGUGUACUUUGAGCUC
rnacentral:lncRNA from 1 species